rnacentral:rRNA from 1 species
GGCCACAGCCACACCACACUGCAGCCCAAGACCGGUUACUCAUUGAAGCUAAGCAGGGCUGAGCCUGGUCAAAACCUGGAUGGGAGACCACAUGGGAACAACUAGGUCGCUGUUGGAA